rnacentral:snRNA from 1 species
GGAUGGUAACCUGGCUGUGGGAUCUGAUAUGCCACUGAUUUCACGGAUUGAUCUGACUGAUCUCCCUCUCCUCCUAACAUUCCAUAUAUGUUCCUCUUAAUGAUGCGUGCUUGAUUAACGAGUAGAGCCUCCCCAACAGACCAUUGUUCAUUGGUCAAAGGGGUGUGGUAGCUGUGCUCCACUGCUGGAAGCUCCAAGUAAGCUCAAAGUCCAUUUGUAGAUAAAUGUAGGGUAAUCAAGUGCCCAGUACUGAAGACACAUCCAAAUGAGAAGCUGCAUGCACCAGUUUGCCAGUGGCUUU